rnacentral:misc_RNA from 1 species
GAUGAAGAACGCAGCGAAAUGCGAUAAGUAAUGUGAAUUGCAGAAUUCAGUGAAUCAUCGAAUCUUUGAACGCACAUUGCGCCCCUUGGUAUUCCGAGGGGCAUGCCUGUUCGAGCGUCAUUAUAACCCCUCAAGCUCAGCUUGGUGUUGGGGCCUGCUGCACUGGCAGCCCUUAAAAUCAGUGGCGGCGCCAUCUGGCUCUAAGCGUAGUAAUUCUCCUCGCUAUGGAGUCCUGGUGGAUGCUUGCCAUCAACCCCCAAUUUUUCUAUGGUUGACCUCGGAUCAGGUAGGGAUACCCGCUGAACUUAAGCAUAUCAAUAAGCGGAGGA